rnacentral:lncRNA from 1 species
AUUGUUUAGCCUUUAAUACCCUUUCUUUCUAGCCUAUCCAAAUCCCACAUUACGGUCCAAAGAAAGACCUUCCGAUCAGUCUUUAAAUGAGGCCAAGUCAGGCAAAUGGGAGAGUCUUAUCAGAACUUAACACUCUAAUCCCCGAUGAAAAGACUCCGACCCCAGCAGAAAAGACUCUGGUCCCCUGCAGAGAAGAUACAUGAG